rnacentral:ncRNA from 1 species
UCGUCUUCGGGGCAGGGUGAAAUUCCCUACUGGCGGUACAGUCCGCGACCCGGGGAGAUGCGGCGGAAAGCGUCAGUUUUCCCAGCUCACUCCGGCUGAUUCGGUGCAACUCCGGAACCAACAGUAAAGUCUGGAUGGAAGAAGAU